AUUGAACGCUAGCGGGAUGCUUUACACAUGCAAGUCGAACGCGUGGCGGACUGGUGAGUAAUAUAUCGGAACGUGCCCAGUAGAUGGGGCUAACUACUCGAAAGAGUGGCUAAUACCUCAUACUAUUUGAACGGCCGAUAUUGCAUUAGCUAGUUGGUGGGGUAAAGGCUCACCUAGGCAACGAUCCGUAGCUGGUUUGAGAGGACGACCGGCCACACUGGGACUGAGACACGGCCCAGACGCCUACGGGAGGCAGCAGUGGGGAAUUUUGGACAAGGGGGGAAACCCUGAUCCAGCCAUCCCGCGUGUAUGAGAAGGCCUUCGGGUUGUAAAGUACUUUUGGCAGAGAAGCGGUAUCUGCAGAAUAAGCACCGGCUAACUACGUGCCAGCCGCCGCGGUAAUUC
rnacentral:rRNA from 1 species